UACGGAGGGAGCUAGCGUUGUUCGGAUAUACUGGGCGUAAAGCGCACGUAGGCGGCGCAGCAAGUCAGGGGUGAAAUCCCGGAGCUCAACUCCGGAACUGCCCUUGAAACUGCAGUGCUAGAAUCCUGGAGAGGCGAGUGGAAUUCCGAGUGUAGAGGUGAAAUUCGUAGAUAUUCGGAAGAACACCAGUGGCGAAGGCGGCUCACUGGCCUGGUAUUGACGCUGAGGUGCGAAAGCGUGGGGAGCAAACAGG
rnacentral:rRNA from 1 species